rnacentral:pre_miRNA from 1 species
AUCACCUGGGAAUCUUGUUAAUAUGCAGAUACUGAUGCGGUGGGUCUGGGGAGGGCCUGCUAUUUUGCAUUUCUAACAAGUUCCCAGGUGAUGCCUCU